GAUGAACGCUGGCGGCGUGCCUAAUACAUACAAGUCGAGCGAACGGACGAGAAGCUUGCUUCUCUGAUGUUAGCGGCGGACGGGUGAGUAACACGUGGAUAACCUACCUAUAAGACUGGGAUAACUUCGGGAAACCGGAGCUAAUACCGGAUAAUAUUUUGAACCGCAUGGUUCAAAAGUGAAAGACGGUCUUGCUGUCACUUAUAGAUGGAUCCGCGCUGCAUUAGCUAGUUGGUAAGGUAACGGCUUACCAAGGCAACGAUGCAUAGCCGACCUGAGAGGGUGAUCGGCCACACUGGAACUGGGACACGGUCCAGACUCCUACGGGAGGCAGCAGUAGGGAAUCUUCCGCAAUGGGCGAAAGCCUGACGGAGCAACGCCGCGUGAGUGAUGAAGGUCUUCGGAUCGUAAAACUCUGUUAUUAGGGAAGAACAUAUGUGUAAGUAACUGUGCACAUCUUGACGGUACCUAAUCAGAAAGCCACGGCUAACUACGUG
rnacentral:rRNA from 1 species